GGUUCAUGACUGGGGUGAAGUCGUAACAAGGUAGCCGUAGGGGAACCUGCGGCUGGAUCACCUCCUUAAAUAGAAAGGCACAGAAGGAACUAGAGUGCCCACACAGUUUGUUUUCAUAAUAAACAAGAUUAAGACAAAAUUGGGUCUGUAGAUCAGUUGGUUAGAUCGCACCCCUGAUAAGGGUGAGGUCGGUGGUUCAAGUCCACCCAGACCCACCAUUUAAUGGUUUUAAUCAUAUUCAAGGUUUAACCAGAACAAAGUGUUUUUGCGAGAGAGCAUUUUAUUCUGGUAUAGCCGGAGUUCAUUAACAAGAUGGUAAAGAAGAAGAGGUAACACAAGCGAUUGGUAUAUGCAUCAUAUGAUUUUGAGGUGAUUGAGGUUAUAUGGUCAAGAAGAG
rnacentral:misc_RNA from 1 species